rnacentral:lncRNA from 1 species
CGGGGGUGUGCACUUCACUUCAUAAUAUCCGCACGAGUAAUUAUACGAAUUAAUGUUUAAUUCUUAAAAUGGCUUAUGAAUUCGUGUACAAAAGGAGUCUGUUGUUCAAUAUAUAGUUUAAGCGUGUCUGUUUGACACACUAAUCUGAAGCACUGUGCCUCAGUUGACCCGCCCUCCUGAGUGGACGCGUCCGCGGAGCUCCGUUCUGCUGGUGAGUUCACUUCAGCUAACUGCGAUUUCUAAAAGUCAUCCUUGAUUUCUAGAUUUGACGAAAUGUGAUAAAUCGGCGGAUCGUCUCGUCAUGAGCGACCGAAAACCGGCGCCUGACAGCGGACAGUACAAGCCGAGAAUGAGCGGAGGGAGCAGUGUGCAGAUGGAGGAUCGCAACAUGCUGCGACGGAUGGAGAAGGAGAGAAGGAGUCAGGGGGUGCAGCAGGAGGAGACGCAGUAUGACAGAAUCGCUCCGCUCUUCAACAAGCCGUAUAAGAGAAUCAAAGAUGAUGAGCUGUCCAGUCUCAUCCAGAGGAUGCUGGGUAAUUAUGAGGAAGGAUAUGACGGACCUGAGGAACUUUGUCCUGCGCUUAAUGAGCAUCCUGCGCACUUCCCUCACGUGGACGAGCAGUUGGGACGCACGGAUCGCUCCAGAGCCGCUUCAGACUCCGGCCCUCCUUCAGGUGAGAGCUGGGACAGUUUACCGGCCCCGGUGGAGCCACUGUCCCCUCUACAGUCCAGUGACUCGGACAGCGGCCCGCCUCCGCUGACUCACGUGCUCCCGCUGAAUUUGCACGGUAAACUGGCCAACGCCAAGAAACCCACAGCAUAUGUGAGGCCGACGGUCGGUCAGGAUCAGGUGACCAGCGGUUCUCCCGAACUGAAGGCCUCAUUGGAGUCUUAUGAGCACUUACAGGACCUGAAGGAGAGCAGCAAACCAAACCUUCCCGCUCUGCAGUCUGCUGAUAUUGUGUCUGGAGCGCGGGUGGGGGACAUUCUGCAGGAAAUGACCUCAUGGCCUCCACUACUGACGACCAUUUGCACGCCAACCACAGACGAGCCGCCUAAGUUCUCCUCCACUAAUGAGGUUAGAUCAGAAUAAAUGGUUUAGUUGGUCACUGAAACACUAGCAUUUGAACUCAUUCUU